GACGAACGCUGGCGGCGUGCUUAACACAUGCAAGUCGAACGGAAAGGCCCUGCUUGCAGGGUGCUCGAGUGGCGAACGGGUGAGUAACACGCGGGUGAUCCGCCCCUUACUUUGGGAUAAGCCUGGGAAACUGGGUCUAAUACUGGAUAGGACCACGCUGUAGGCGGGGUGGUGGAAAGAUUAGUUUCGGUAAGGGAUGAGCUCGCGGCCUAUCAGCGUGUUGGUGGGGUAAUGGCCUACCAAGGCGUCGACGGGUAGCCGGCCUGAGAGGGUGGACGGCCACAUUGGGACUACGAUGCGGCCCACACUCCUCCGGGGGGCGGCAGUGGGGGAUAUUGCACAAUGGGCGCAGGCCUGAUGCUGCGGCGCCGCGUGGGGGGUGACGGCCUUCGGGUUGUAGACUCCUUUCAGCCAUGGCGAAGCCCUUGUGGUGACGGUAGUGGUAGAAGAAGCACCGGCUAACUACGUG
rnacentral:rRNA from 1 species